GGGAAAAGAGAAGCCAGGCUUGUGCUCGUAGCUGCGGAGCUGAAAUGGAGCGCAAAAGCCAGCCAGUCCAACCUCAUUUUACAGAUGGGCGAACCAUCUGUGUAUCUAUCUGCACACAUAUACAUCCGUCAUUAAGUGGUUAUUGAUUGUAGUCGUGCAGUUCUGUAAUUAUAUAUAGGUAAUCCCUCCAGUGGUGAAGAUCACACAACCCAUCCAUGCCUUCUCAUCCUAUUCAACACAUCCUCCCACAAAUCUUUUGCAGGGGACUCUACUCAACCUGCUGGGAACUCUUUUCUAAAAGGACCUCUACUAGGGAAAUGCAUUUGAGCCAUUCUCAGGGGAUACUCCUGUGUCAGAGUAACCCAGCCCUGACUCUUGGAAGUGAUUGGGUUCUUACUACAUGCAGAAAGAAUUUGAAGAGACCUCACCCUUAAGGAGUGGGGCAAGACAUGUCUAAAGGAUGAAGAAACCGAGGCCCAUGGAGGAAGUGACUAACCCAAGGUCCUACAUUUGAUGGCGAAAGCCAUAAAAGCUACAUGACCUCUAAGGCAAAUAAGACCAAAUGCUAGCUGAAAACAAAAGGUGAAUGGACAAGCUUCAUAAUAUAGUCUUAACAACUCACCUGGGUAGGAUAGGACAUCCUGGGGCUAAUGCCAUGGAAUCCUCCGAGGAGAGACAAGUGCUAAUUGCCUUGAAGCCCAGUGAAGAAAUCUGGUGGAGCAGAAAGAGGACUUUUCAUGUGCAUGGAGCCUGAACAAGGAUAAUACUUUUCAAAGCAAAAGGCAUAGAAAUUGGUAUGAGGAAUGGAGGAGGCUUAACAAGGAGGCAGUGACUGCACUGGAAGUCAUUACCCUCUAGGUCUCAUCUUUAUCGCCUACAAAAUGGCAGUAGUAAGAGCAGGGGAGGCAGUUGGACUGGAUUACCGCUGAGGUUCAAUCAGGAGGCCCUUAUCCAGAGACAAAGGGAGGAAGCAGGUUCUAGAAGGGACAGGGAGUCCUAAGAUUCUUUUGACCUAAAUGUAUCUUGACUUAGGAGCCUGAAACCUGGGCCUAGUGUGCAACCCAGAUGGGGGCAAAGAACAAAGUGAAUAAAGGGGAGCUUAGAAUGA